AUUUAUUAGUACAAAACCAUUCUGCUUCGGCAGUUGUUUGUUGACUCUGGAUAACUCUACCUGAUCGCAUGGCCUUGCGCCAGCGACGUAUCUUUCAAGUGUCUGCCCUAUCAACUUUCGAUGGUAGGUUAUGUGCCUACCAUGGUUAUAACGGGUGACGGGGAAUCAGGGUUCGAUUCCGGAGAGGGAGCCUUAGAAAUGGCUGCUACAUCUAAGGAAGGCAGCAGGCGCGCAACUUACCCACUGUUAGUUCAGCGAGGUAGUGACGAUAAAUAACAAUACAGAACUCUUAUGAGGCUCUGUAAUUGGAAUGAGUACGAUUUAAAUCCUCUCAACGAGGAACGAUUGGAGGGCAAGUCUGGUGCCAGCAGCCGCGGUAAUUCCAGCUCCAAUAGCGUAUAUUAAAGUUGUUGCAGUUAAAAAGCUCGUAGUUGGAUCUCGGGUUGUGAAUGCAUGGUGUGGCAUUUUAGUUACUACUAUGCAUUCCGCCUUACUAGUCGUUAGCUAUUGCUGGUGCUCUUCACUGAGUUGCUAGCAAUGCACGGCAUGUUUACUUUGAAAAAAUUAGAGUGCUCA
rnacentral:rRNA from 1 species